rnacentral:sRNA from 1 species
UAUUUGCGUGAGGGAUGGAAGCGGCAUCCUUUUUUUGAUGCGAUGGGAAAGCAUUGGUAACCAAAAAAAGAUAUAGCAUACAGCCCGACCCGAG